UAUCUCUGUCUACUUACACUAAUGACAUAAAAAAUGAUAGGUUCCAUCCAAUAUUAUACCAGUAUUAAAAGGUAUUCCGAAGUGGAGCAUGAAGCUCCGCCUCAGAACUUCGUAGAUCUCCUUCUAUGCCCAUUGCAUGUGGUGAGUUCUAGUUGACUUUACAAGUAAAAAACUGAAUAUGUACUAAUAUACUAUUUUCUCCUCCGAGACACUGUGCAAAGAGCCAUAGACUUUGUUAACAUCCAAAGGAGAGCGCAUAUUAUAAAGCAUCCUCUAUACGAUGCAUUAUAGAGGAUGCUCUGUAGAAUUUUUAUCCAUCUAACAAGACCUCUAUAUGAGAAUGAAGCAUGUACCAAGUCAACAAAUUUCAUAUCAUGAUUAUUUAUUUUGAAAAAGAACAAACAAAAUAUACAUAAAUGCAGGAAAAUAAUGAAAUGAACACAAGCAGAGAUUAAAUGCAAGUGAAUGCAACUUGUAUGAUAAACAUAUUAUAACUGUAUUGUGAUUAGUACACAUAAGACACGACAACUUUCGUUCAGAUAAAUUCCAGUGAUCACUUUCAGAGCGAAAGCUUUCACUCUAGAAAAGAUAAGAAUCCUUCGACUCGUUUUCUUGAGGUUAUGUGACAAUCCACAAGUGGGAGAGUUUUCAUGGGCCACAUCCCACGUGGAACCAAGGUGAUGCUUGCCUAUAAUAGGUGUUUUGGAUCACAAAUACCCCGCAGCCCCGGAGAGAG
rnacentral:lncRNA from 1 species